UGAAUACGAGAUGCUACGGCGUCGAAGCAGUGUAUGUCAGACUUCCAAGAAAAGCUCGCAAUGUCAUAAAUAAAUAAUGCCUGUACCAUAACCGACACAGGUGGGUAGGUAGAGUAUACUAAGGGGCGCGAGAUAACUCUCUCUAAGGAACUCGGCAAAAUAACUCCGUAACUUCGGGAGAAGGAGUGCCUUAUUUAUAAGGUUGCAAUAACAAGAUCCAAGCAACUGUUUAUCAAAAACACAGGUCUCCGCUAAGUCGUAAGACGAUGUAUGGGGGCUGACGCCUGCCCAGUGCCAGAAGGUUAAAGAAGUUGGUUAGCAUUGCGAAGCUGAUGACUGAAGCCCUGGUGAACGGCGGCCGUAACAAUAACGGUCCUAAGGUAGCGAAAUUCCUUGUCGGGUAAGUUCCGACCCGCACGAAAGGCGUAAUGAUUUGGAUACUGUCUCGGAGAGGGACUCGGUGAAAUAGACUUGUCUGUGAAGAUGCGGACUACCUGCACCAGGACAGAAAGACCCUAUGAAGCUUUACUGUAACUUGAAAUUGAAAUUGGACUUUAUUUGCGCAGUAUAGGUGGGAGGCGUUGAGAAUAAUCUCGCGGGAUUAUUGGAGCCAUCAGUGAGAUACCACUCCUAUAAUGUUAGAUUUCUAACUUUGUAUCAUUAUCUGGUCAAAGAACAGUUUCAGGCGGGCAGUUUGACUGGGGCGGUCGCCUCCUAAAUGGUAACGGAGGCGUACAAAGGUUUCCUCUGAACGGGUAGAAAUCGUAUCUAGAGUAUAAAGGCAUAAGGAAGCUUGACUGUGAGACCUACAAGUCGAGCAGGGACGAAAGUCGGUCUUAGUGAUCUGACGGUGCUGAGUGGAAAGGCCGUCACUCAACGGAUAAAAGUUACUCUAGGAUAACAGGCUGAUCUCCCCCAAGAGUUCACAUCGACGGGGAGGUUUGGCACCUCGAUGUCGGCUCAUCGCAUCCUGGGGCGGUAGUACGUCCCAAGGGUUGGGCUGUUCGCCCAUGAAAGCGGUACGCGAGCUGGGUUCAGAUCGUCGUGAGACAGUUCGGUCCAUAUCCGGUGUAGGCGUUAGAAUAUUGAGAGGAGCCUUCUUUAGUACGAGAGGACCGAGAAGGACAUACCUCUGGUGUACCAGUUAUCGUGCCAACGGUAAACGCUGGGUAGCUAUGUAUGGAGUGGAUAACCGCUGAAAGCAUCUAAGUGGGAAGCCCACCUCAGGAUGAGUAUUCUCGU
rnacentral:rRNA from 1 species